rnacentral:rRNA from 1 species
GACGAACUGUCCUAACGUUGUUCGGAAUCACUGGGCUUAAAGGGCGCGUAGGCGGUCCGACAAGUCAGGGGUGAAAUCCUGCAGCUUAACUGCAGAAGUGCCUUUGAUACUGUCGGUCUUGAGGGAGAUAGGGGUGUGCGGAACUCACAGUGGAGCGGUGAAAUGCGUUGAUAUUGUGAGGAACGCCGGAGGCGAAAGCGGCGCACUGGAUCUCUUCUGACGCUGAGGCGCGAAAGCUAGGGUAGCGAACGGG